UAGAGUUUGAUCCUGGCUCAGAUUGAACGCUGGCGGCAGGCCUAACACAUGCAAGUCGAGCGGAUGAGGGGAGCUUGCUCCCUGAUUUAGCGGCGGACGGGUGAGUAAUGCCUAGGAAUCUGCCUGGUAGUGGGGGAUAACGUUCCGAAAGGAACGCUAAUACCGCAUACGUCCUACGGGAGAAAGCAGGGGACCUUCGGGCCUUGCGCUAUCAGAUGAGCCUAGGUCGGAUUAGCUAGUUGGUGAGGUAAUGGCUCACCAAGGCGACGAUCCGUAGCUGGUCUGAGAGGAUGAUCAGUCACACUGGAACUGAGACACGGUCCAGACUCCUACGGGAGGCAGCAGUGGGGAAUAUUGGACAAUGGGCGAAAGCCUGAUCCAGCCAUGCCGCGUGUGUGAAGAAGGUCUUCGGAUUGUAAAGCACUUUAAGUUGGGAGGAAGGGCAUUAACCUAAUACGUUAGUGUUUUGACGUUACCAACAGAAUAAGCACCGGCUAACUUCGUGCCAGCAGCCGCGGUAAUACGAAGGGUGCAAGCGUUAAUCGGAAUUACUGGGCGUAAAGCGCGCGUAGGUGGUUCGUUAAGUUGGAUGUGAAAGCCCCGGGCUCAACCUGGGAACUGCAUCCAAAACUGGCGAGCUAGAGUACGGUAGAGGGUGGUGGAAUUUCCUGUGUAGCGGUGAAAUGCGUAGAUAUAGGAAGGAACACCCAGUGGCGAAGGCGACCCACCCUGGACUGAUACU
rnacentral:rRNA from 1 species